CACACGACCGUACCGCAAACCGACACUGGUGCGCGAGAUGAGUAUUCUAAGGCGCUUGAGAGAACUCAGGAGAAGGAACUCGGCAAAUUGACACCGUAACUUCGGAAGAAGGUGUGCCUUUAGUAGGUGAAGUCCCUCGCGGAUGGAGCCCAAUGAGGUUGCAAAAAAUCGGUGGCUGCGACUGUUUAUUAAAAACACAGCACUCUGCAAACACGAAAGUGGACGUAUAGGGUGUGACGCCUGCCCGGUGCUGGAAGAUUAAAUGAUGGGGUGCAAGCUCUUGAUUGAAGUCCCAGUAAACGGCGGCCGUAACGAUAACGGUCCUAAGGUAGCGAAAUUCCUUGUCGGGUAAGUUCCGACCUGCACGAAUGGCGUAACGAUGGCCACACUGUCUCCUCCUGAGACUCAGCGAAGUUGAAAUGUUUGUGAUGAUGCAAUCUCCCCGCGGAAAGACGGAAAGACCCCAUGAACCUUUACUGUAGCUUUGUAUUGGACUUUGAACAGAUCUGUGUAGGAUAGGUGGGAGGCUUUGAAGCAGGGUCGCUAGAUCUUGUGGAACCAACGUUGAAAUACCACCCUGGUGUGUUUGAGGUUCUAACCUAGGCCCGUAAUCCGGGUUGGGGACAGUGCAUGGUAGGCAGUUUGACUGGGGCGGUCUCCUCCCAAAGUGUAACGGAGGAGUUCGAAGGUACGCUAGUUACGGUCGGACAUCGUGACGAUAGUGCAAUGGCAUAAGCGUGCUUAACUGCGAGACUGACAAGUCGAGCAGAUGCGAAAGCAGGACAUAGUGAUCCGGUGGUUCUGUAUGGAAGGGCCAUCGCUCAACGGAUAAAAGGUACUCUGGGGAUAACAGGCUGAUACCGCCCAAGAGUUCAUAUCGACGGCGGUGUUUGGCACCUCGAUGUCGGCUCAUCUCAUCCUGGGGCUGUAGCCGGUCCCAAGGGUAUGGCUGUUCGCCAUUUAAAGAGGUACGUGAGCUGGGUUUAAAACGUCGUGAGACAGUUUGGUCCCUAUCUUCCGUGGGCGCUGCAGAUUUGAGGAAGCCUGCUCCUAGUACGAGAGGACCGGAGUGGACGCACCUCUGGUGUAUCGGUUGUCACGCCAGUGGCAUUGCCGAGUAGCUAUGUGCGGAAGAGAUAACCGCCGAAAGCAUCUAAGCGGGAAACUCGUUUCAAGAUGAGAUCUGCCGGGGCCUUGAGCCCCCUGAAGAGUCGUUCAAGACCAGGACGUUGAUAGGUCGGGUGUGGAAGCGCAGUAAUGCGUUAAGCUAACCGAUACUAAUUGCUCGUGCGGCUUGACC
rnacentral:rRNA from 1 species